CGUGUAGGCGGUCGGUCAAGUCCGAUGUGAAAGCCCGGGGCUCAGCCCCGGAAGUGCAUCGGAAACUAGCCGGCUGGAGCGCGAUAGAGGAGGGUGGAAUUCCUGGUGUAGCGGUGAAAUGCGUAGAUAUCAGGAGGAACACCGGCGGCGAAGGCGGCCCUCUGGAUCGUUGCUGACGCUGAGACGCGAAAGCGUGGGGAGCAAACAGGAUUAGAUACCCUGGUAGUCCACGCUGUAAACGAUGGGUACUAGGCGUUCGGGGUAUUGACCCCCUGAGUGCCGCAGCUAACGCAUUAAGUACCCCGCCUGGGGACUACGGCCGCAAGGUUAAA
rnacentral:rRNA from 1 species